UACGGAGGGGGCUAGCGUUGUUCGGAAUUACUGGGCGUAAAGCGCGCGUAGGCGGCUUUGUAAGUUAGAGGUGAAAGCCCGGAGCUCAACUCCGGAACUGCCUUUAAGACUGCAUCGCUAGAAUCAUGGAGAGGUGAGUGGAAUUCCGAGUGUAGAGGUGAAAUACGUAGAUAUCAGGUGGAAUACCGGUGGCGAAGGCGGCCAAUUGGCCCAACACUGACGCUGAGAUACGAAAGCGUGGGGAUCAAACAGG
rnacentral:rRNA from 1 species